rnacentral:rRNA from 1 species
AUUGAACGCUGGCGGCAGGCUUAACACAUGCAAGUCGUGCGGAGUGAUGGUGCUUGCACUAUCACUUAGCGGCGGACGGGUGAGUAAUGCUUAGGAAUCUGCCUAUUAGUGGGGGACAACAUCUCGAAAGGGAUGCUAAUACCGCAUACGUCCUACGGGAGAAAGCAGGGGAUCACUUGUGACCUUGCGCUAAUAGAUGAGCCUAAGUCGGAUUAGCUAGUUGGUGGGGUAGAGGCCUACCAAGGCGACGAUCUGUAGCGGGUCUGAGAGGAUGAUACGCCACACUGGGACUGAGACACGGCCCAGACUCCUACGGGAGGCAGCAGUGGGGAAUAUUGGACAAUGGGGGGAACCCUGAUCCAGCCAUGCCGCGUGUGUGAAGAAGGCCUUAUGGUUGUAAAGCACUUUAAGCGAGGAGGAGGCUCUUUUGGUUAAUACCCAAGAUGAGUGGACGUUACUCGCAGAAUAAGCACCGGCUAACUCUGUGCCAGCCGCCGCGGUAA